rnacentral:lncRNA from 1 species
GGGGGACAGAGAAGAAGCAAAGGGGAAACGAGAAACUGAGGAAAGGGAGAAGAGGGAUCAGGGAAGCACCACGAAGAACAGAGAGACGUGCGCGAUCGAGGGAGAAGGUAGCAUUGCCACCGUGCCUCAUCAUCGUCGCUGAAGCUCUCGUUGCCACUAUCAACGCCAUUUAGGGCAGAGGAGAAGAGGAAGAAUGACGGAGAAAAGAGAUUGGAGCUGCUACAGGAACGGCGGUUCCUGCUUCUAACCUCUGCUCUUUUGAUUUCUGGAGCUACCGUGGGUGGAGCUUGUCA